rnacentral:rRNA from 1 species
UUGGUGGGAAACUGCCUGCGAGGGUAGGAAGCUGCCACGCUCGGUGCUUGCACCGAGAUUCAACAUGGAACGAGUGGCGGACGGGUGAGUAACACGUGGGUAACCUGCCCUUAAGUGGGGGAUAACAUUUGGAAACAGAUGCUAAUACCGCAUAGAUCCAAGAACCGCAUGGUUCUUGGCUGAAAGAUGGCGUAAGCUAUCGCUUUUGGAUGGACCCGCGGCGUAUUAGCUAGUUGGUGAGGUAAUGGCUCACCAAGGCGAUGAUACGUAGCCGAACUGAGAGGUUGAUCGGCCACAUUGGGACUGAGACACGGCCCAAACUCCUACGGGAGGCAGCAGUAGGGAAUCUUCCACAAUGGACGCAAGUCUGAUGGAGCAACGCCGCGUGAGUGAAGAAGGCUUUCGGGUCGUAAAACUCUGUUGUUGGAGAAGAAUGGUCGGCAGAGUAACUGUUGUCGGCGUGACGGUAUCCAACCAGAAAGCCACGGCUAACUACGUGCCAGCAGCCGCGGUAAUACGUAGGUGGCAAGCGUUAUCCGGAUUUAUUGGGCGUAAAGCGAGCGCAGGCGGUUUUUUAAGUCUGAUGUGAAAGCCCUCGGCUUAACCGAGGAAGCGCAUCGGAAACUGGGAAACUUGAGUGCAGAAGAGGACAGUGGAACUCCAUGUGUAGCGGUGAAAUGCGUAGAUAUAUGGAAGAACACCAGUGGCGAAGGCGGCUGUCUGGUCUGUAACUGACGCUGAGGCUCGAAAGCAUGGGUAGCGAACAGGAUUAGAUACCCUGGUAGUCCAUGCCGUAAACGAUGAAUGCUAGGUGUUGGAGGGUUUCCGCCCUUCAGUGCCGCAGCUAACGCAUUAAGCAUUCCGCCUGGGGAGUACGACCGCAAGGUUGAAACUCAAAGGAAUUGACGGGGGCCCGCACAAGCGGUGGAGCAUGUGGUUUAAUUCGAAGCAACGCGAAGAACCUUACCAGGUCUUGACAUCUUUUGAUCACCUGAGAGAUCAGGUUUCCCCUUCGGGGGCAAAAUGACAGGUGGUGCAUGGUUGUCGUCAGCUCGUGUCGUGAGAUGUUGGGUUAAGUCCCGCAACGAGCGCAACCCUUAUGACUAGUUGCCAGCAUUUAGUUGGGCACUCUAGUAAGACUGCCGGUGACAAACCGGAGGAAGGUGGGGAUGACGUCAAAUCAUCAUGCCCCUUAUGACCUGGGCUACACACGUGCUACAAUGGAUGGUACAACGAGUUGCGAGACCGCGAGGUCAAGCUAAUCUCUUAAAGCCAUUCUCAGUUCGGACUGUAGGCUGCAACUCGCCUACACGAAGUCGGAAUCGCUAGUAAUCGCGGAUCAGCACGCCGCGGUGAAUACGUUCCCGGGCCUUGUACACACCGCCCGUCACACCAUGAGAGUUUGUAACACCCGAAGCCGGUGGCGUAACCCUUUUAGGGAGCGAGCCGUCUAAGGUGGGACAAAUGAUUAGGGUGAAGUCGUAACAAGGUAGCCGUAGGAGAACCUGCGGCUG